GUAGUCUCGCACAGAUGCAUAUCAAUAAGCGGAGGAAAAGAAACUAACAAGGAUUCCCCUAGUAACGGCGAGUGAAGCGGGAAGAGCUCAAAUUUGAAAUCUUAAAGGGUUUCCCUUUACGAAUUGUAGUUUAAAGAAGUGUUUUCUGUUGAGGUUUUGGUAAAAGUUCUUUGGAAUAGGACAUCAUAGAGGGUGAGAAUCCCGUAUUUGACCUUUACUUUCAACUUUGUGAUACACUUUCAAAGAGUCGGAUUGUUUGGGAAUGCAGUCCAAAAUGGGUGGUAAAUUUCAUCUAAAGCUAAAUAUUGGCGAGAGACCGAUAGCGAACAAGUACCGUGAGGGAAAGAUGAAAAGAACUUUGAAAAGAGAGUUAAACAGUACGUGAAAUUGUCAAAAGGGAAGCGUUUGACACCAGUGUUGUUUUUCUGAAAAUCAAUUAAAGAACUGUUUAUGCUAAGUUGUUUAGACUUUAUCAGCUAUCUGCUUAGUUUUGAGCUUUUCUUUAAUGCACUUUUCAGUUAACAAGUCAACAUCAAUUUCUUUUGCUGUAAAAAAGCUUGAGGAAGGUGGCUUGAGAUUCGUCUUAAGUGUUUAUAGCCUCUUGCCUAUGCAGUCGGAGAGAUUGAGGUCUGCAGCGUAGAUCCUUCGGGGCUAAAUGCAUUUGUGCUAAGUUAUAGCAUUUUAUAGACAACUUGCUGACUAUGAUUUGUCUUGUAGCUUACUCGCUUAUGUUAUUUUACCUACGCUUAGGAUGUUGACGCAUGAGAUAUACGC
rnacentral:rRNA from 1 species